AUGGAAUGUAUCUGGAUUUUUCUCUUCCUCCUGUCAGUAACUUCAGGUGUGUAUUCCCAGGCACAGCUGGAGCAGUCUGGAGCUGAGCUGGUGAGGCCUGGGGCUUCAGUGAAGAUGUCCUGCAAGGCUUCUGGCUACACCUUCACUGACUAUGUUAUGAACUGGGUGAAGCAGAGUCCUGGAAAGGGCCUGGAAUGGAUUGGAUGGAUUUAUCCUUACAAUGAUCAAACUAAGUACAAUGAGAAGUUCAAAGACAGGGCCACCUUGACUGCAGACAAAUCCUCCAACACAGCUUACAUGGAGCUCAGAAGCCUGACAUCUGAGGACUCUGCGGUCUAUUACUGUGCAAGAAGACACAGUGUUGCAACCACAUCCUGA